rnacentral:ribozyme from 13 species
CACACAGACAUACACAGACACACAGACAGAAAUACAGAGACUCAUAUAAAGCAAGUAUACUCUCAUAGAGCAUUCCUCUUUUUCAUUCAUUCUUCUCUUUUCUUUUCCCUUUGUUUCUCUCUCUUCUCUCUUUCAUCAAUAAUAAUAAUA